rnacentral:tRNA from 2 species
UCCCCGCUGGUGUAACCGGCAACACGCCCGCCUCUGGAGUGGGUAGCUACAGGUUCGAAUCCUGUGCGGGGAG